CAGAAUUUAGUCUGGUCACCCCGACAUUCUAACCUCAUGUUGGACUUUGCUCAGGCUCGCUUGGUAUGAGUCACUUUUAGUUUAGAAAAGUUAAUACACAAGCAUGGCUGGUUCAUGUGCAGUCUGUAGCAAGCCAGCGAGUCAACGCUGUGCUGUUUGUAAAUCAGUGAACUACUGCAACAAGAACCACCAGAAGCAGCACUGGAAGACACACAAGAACGAAUGUAAAUGCUUCGAGGUCGCCACAUCCAGCAAACUGGGCCGACACAUGGUUGCUCUAAGGAACAUAACAGCAGGAGAAGUUAUUCUCAAAGAGUCGCCAUUGGUGUGUGGCCCCAAAGUCCUAGCAUUCGCUCAAUGUCUCGGCUGCCAUUGCAAACUAACCGGCUCUUCCGUCGACGAUGAAAUGCUCAAAAGUUUCUACUACUGCAGAAAGUGUAAUUGGCCUUUGUGUUCCCCAAAAUGUGAAAAGAGUCCUGUGCACCAAGCAGAAUGUGCAGUUUUAGCAAAGAGUAAGCACAAAACUGUGAUCAAAUACCAAGAGGAAGAACAAAAGGUUCCAGCGUACUGUGCUAUUGUGCCUCUUAGGUGUUUCCUUCUUCCGCCUGAAAAACUCAAUGAAUUGCUUUCUUUAGAAUCAAAUUUGGAAGUGUUGAUAAACACAACUCUUUACAAUGUUUUCAGGAUCAAUAUUGUAGGGUAUUUACAUAAAGCUCUAGGUUUGACUCAAUACAAUGAGGAGACAAUAUUGAAGGUGGCUGCAGUGUUGGAUACUAACUCGUUUGAAAUAAGGAGAGACAAAGGAAAUAUCAGGAUAAGAGGGUUGUACCCGAAAGCAGCGAUGAUGUCUCACAGUUGCAAACCCAACACUAAACAUUUCUUCGUAGGAGAUGACUUUACGAUGGUGGUCAUGGCAACGACCGACAUAAAAAAAGGUGAGAUAAUCAAUGCGACUUACACACAAACUUUGUGGAGCACCCAGGAGAGAAGACAACAUCUAAAGAUUUCAAAGUGUUUCGACUGUGACUGUGAAAGAUGUGUUGAUCCCACAGAGUUUAACACUUUCAUCAGCUGCAUCUUGUGUUCAAAGUGUAAAGGAUACAUGUUGUGCGAAGAUCCUCUAGACCCCAGCUCAAGAUGGAAAUGUCACAAGUGUUCACAUUUGAUUAACACCAAGCAAAUGGCUUUCGGCAAUGAAGCUCUGAAGAGGGAACUAGAAAACACGGGCAAAACCAUUCCAAUUCUUGAAGCUCUUGUGAAUAAAUAUUUGAAAGACGAGGGAUCAGUGUUGCACCCAACAAACUGUCACAUUAUUCAAGCAAAACAUGCUCUCAUUCAGCUUUAUGGAGUUCACCUUUCGGAGUUAUCAUCAGAGCAGCUGGACUACGCAGAGUCUAUUUGCAAUGACUUGCUAGACUUGGCUGAUAAACUAGAUCCAGGAAUGACCAGGUUCCGAGGCACCUUGCUGUACGAUCUUCAAGCAAUAAAGGUCGUCAAGGUCAAGGCGGAGUUUGAGAAAGACCUUAUCACCAAAGACAAAGCUCAGGAGCUCCUAACAGAGGUGACCGAGUUACUACAAGAGGCAACCAAGAUUCUGAAACAUGAACCAGACAUGAUAACUCUACUAGAAGAGCGAGUCAAAGAGCUGGACCAACUAUGUUCUACGUGACCAGGACAACUUCUGUGAUCAAACUCAAGUUCCUCUGUGUCUAGUGUACGUGUAAUGGCGCAGUAACGGAGUUCGCUCUCAUCUUGUCUCAAAGAAGAAGCCUAUUGAGAGCGGCCUAUUGCUACCUGUGGACGAGCAGAAAAUGGCUUCCCUGCACUCCACACCUAGGAAGGCCCAGCUUAAGUUUUAAGGGGAUAUGCCUCCAUCUAUAGGCCAUUUUAUAAAAUAUUUUGACAUUUUUCAAGUGACAAUUUUAAAUUCCUAAAUUAAUUAUUACUGAACAUGUAUGCAAAGUUUUAUUUGAUUUGGAGAUUUUUUUUAGUGAUUUUUUAAAUAAAAUUGGAAUCGUUGCGCCCAGCAACAAUAAGUAAAAUGAAAACUUUAAACGGCGUUUUCUCAAAAUUACGUUUUUCAUUUACUGCAUUUAGGUAAGUUUGAAUAACUUUAAAUUUACUUAUUAUUUUUCAAUGACAUUUUAACCAGAUGUUCUUAAUAGUAUUUAGAAGAUUGGUGUGUAUAGAGAUUAUCCUGCAAUUAUU